rnacentral:rRNA from 1 species
ACUCCUACGGGAGGCAGCAGUGGGGAAUAUUGCACAAUGGGCGCAAGCCUGAUGCAGCCAUGCCGCGUGUAUGAAGAAGGCCUUCGGGUUGUAAAGUACUUUCAGCAGUGAGGAAGGUGGGUAUGUUAAUAGCAUACUCAUUUGACGUUAGCUGCAGAAGAAGCACCGGCUAACUCCGUGCCAGCAGCCGCGGUAAUACGGAGGGUGCGAGCGUUAAUCGGAAUUACUGGGCGUAAAGCGCAUGCAGGUGGUUUGUUAAGUCAGAUGUGAAAGCCCGGGGCUCAACCUCGGAAUUGCAUUUGAAACUGGCAAACUAGAGUACUGUAGAGGGGGGUAGAAUUUCAGGUGUAGCGGUGAAAUGCGUAGAGAUCUGAAGGAAUACCGGUGGCGAAGGCGGCCCCCUGGACAGAUACUGACACUCAGAUGCGAAAGCGUGGGGAGCAAACAGGAUUAUAUACCCUGGUAGGCUCU